CCUUCCGCCUCCAUCUCUAUCACCACUCUCUAACCUUAAAACUCUCCACCUCCAAAGUCCAAAUCGACGGCUAUCCCUUCACCAGUCCAGGUCGUCGCCUCCGCCCUACAACUGUGCUCCAACCCGUUGCCUCCUGUCUCCACGUCGUCGCCCCUCCACCCAACCACCCGUCGUCUCCAACCAUCCAACAGUUGCCUCCGCCCUUCAGCUAUCCACGCCGCUUCCAAGAAGGUGUUGAAUAAUGAAAGUGAAACAGUUGGAGAUGUCCUUGGUACUUGGAAAUUUGAGCAAGUAGAGCUUAUGAAGCUUAAGUUUGUUGAAGGGGGUGUUUUUAACACAUUUCCAUCUAGAAAGGAACUUGCCCAAUACAAUAUCAUGAAAAGAUUGAACAACAUAUUUUAGACUUGAAGAUAUUGAAGAGUGAACAUCUAUGGUGAAAUCAACAUUAGUUAAUCAUGCCGUGGCAUAAUUAUGUACUCCUAUGAAACUUUAUUUUGGUUGAUAUUCAUGUUGUAACCUAAAUAUUGGUUUUUGUUGGUUGAUGGAUGUUAUUUCUUA